UACGUAUGGUGCAAGCGUUAUCCGGAUUUACUGGGCGUAAAGGGAGCGCAGGCGGCGCGCCAAGUCUGAUGUGAAACCCCGGGCUCAACCCCGGGCAUGCAUUGGAAACUGGCGGGCUGGAGUGCCGGAGAGGUAAGCGGAAUUCCUAGUGUAGCGGUGAAAUGCGUAGAUAUUAGGAGGAACACCAGUGGCGAAGGCGGCUUACUGGACGGCAACUGACGCUGAGGCUCGAAAGCGUGGGGAGCAAACAGG
rnacentral:rRNA from 1 species